GGCCAGGCUGUGUUUCCUUGCACUUGUAGGCCAUGCUUAUAGACAGCUGGUGUGCUGGAGCUGCUUAAGCUGUGCCUACUUGAUUUGUGUGUGAGCGAGAGGUCACGUACCAGAGGUACUCCUCAAAGGAAGUGGUGUGAAUAACUCACUGCAUCCAGAGAUUCUCUGAGGUGGGGCUGUAGGUGUGUGUUUAGGUUGUCCUGUCUGCUUCCUAGCUAAAUCAGGCCUGCCAGCUGUCUUGUGCAAACAGGCAAGAGUCAAUUUUCUGGCCCGUGCUGGUUUUUCUCUGUAUCUGUCUGUGUUGCAUUGGUGAUGUCAGUAAGCACAAGCUGGAAAUGGCAUACAGAUUGUUUUAAUUUGCACCAAGGACAAACUUUGCCUCUAUGAAUAAGAAAGCAUUUUUGAAAACAUCCUACCUCUACUGAACUGACUGCUCCUAGUUUCCAGUUCUACAGUAUGUUGUCAGCAGGAUCAGAGCUGGGCCUACAAGCACUCUGCUCUGCCCCAGGCCAUGCUGCUGGCAUGAUGCAGGACACGGAGCUGUGCUGGAGAGCCUGAGCAGCCCCAGUGAGCGUACCAGAGGCUACUGAAGGAAGAAAGUGGAAUUCUGGGCAGUUCAGAGCUGUUGAGGAGAACCUCGCAAUGCUCAACAAUUCCCGAGCAGCCUGCUGUAAAUCUUGUAGCCAGUUCAGCUUUCAGAGGGAGCCAGAAGAGAUUUGUAGAGUUUGGCAGUAGUGUCGUUCCUGAGGAAGACUGGAGAAAGAAAACUCAGAAUCACGGCUAUGAACAGCUCUUUAGAAAUGAAUGGCUAACUCGAGGAAGUCUUGCAGUGAGCAAAUCUUUGCUUGAAAUAGUUUGGGACCAAGUGUAA
rnacentral:lncRNA from 1 species